CCCGGGCAAACCCUAAUCGUUGCCGCCACCUCCUCCUCUCUCCCCUGCUGCCACCCUUCCGUUCGCCGCCAGCGCGACGGCGCCCCUCCCCACUGACCGCGUCGCGAACUCGCGAUACGCCUCCGACACCCGUGCCCCCCUCCAGCGACGGCGGCGCCGCCCCUCACCGCUGACCACGCAGCCGGCGCGCGGUCCCUCCUGCCGACCGCGUCGCGAGACGCCUCCGACGCCACCACGAAGGAUCUUGAGCCGCCACCGGGAUGCCUUCUGUACCGCGACGCCGCCACCGCCAAGGAUCCUGCGCCAUGUGCUCUCUGUUGCGCCACCACCAGAACCCUCUCCACCACGCUGCAGACAAGGUAAGCUUCGCUCGAUCCCAUUCCUUCAACCAUUACAAUUGAAACCAACUAAAGCAACUCCCCCAAUGGCUUAAACUCCCCCAAUGUAGGACUUGAAAAUAACCAAUUGAUUUUAUUGCCCAAACAAGAGCAGCCGCAGCAGCAGCUGUUGCCUGGGUGAAUUUCACCUAUUCUCAGCCAUCCUUUUACUUCUAUGGCUGAGAUCACCUUUUUCUAAUUAACAACCCUUAUAACAAGUUUAGAUGUGGAGGGAAUAUAUAUACUUUUCUCUUCAUGUAGCGAUGAUGAGGAAGAUCGGUAUUGAGGACCAGCACCAGUGGCAUCUUAUGUAUUGUUUCAGAUGUACUAGGGAUGUAUGUAUGGUUUCAGAUCGUGGUUUUUGGAUGAAUAAAUUGAGUUUAGGUUUUAGUGCAACCUUGUCUCUUGCAUGAGUGGGGAUCGUUAGGGUCUUACAGAAUGCAUGACAAAAAGGAUUUAGGUAGAAAAAUGGCACAAAACAUGCAUUUUAUUAACAAGAUAUUCUGGAUCCUUUUUAUGCAUGAGAAGAGGUACAUCGGCCAUAUGAUUUUCAACUACUCUUAUGCAGGACUGCUACUCUUAUGCAUGAAACAUAAUAUACUCUUAUUCACACCGUGUAUAUUAUAUACUUACCUCGAGCAUAGACUGAAGUAUUCUAGAUUAUGAUGGCUUACGCAUAGAUUUAUAGAAAACCUGUGAGAAUGUUUUUGAAUGCUUCAGAAUUAUACAAUCCCGUAUGAGUGUUGCUUUCAUCUGUAGUAAUUCGAGCAUACAUUUAUUUGUGCCUCACUAUAAUCUCUUUGUAACGAUGCUGAUACUUCCAAAGUAUCCUUUUGCAAUGAGAAUAUGAUUGGGUUUAUUUUAAAAUUAUAUGGAAUAAAAAAACCUGCAAAUUCUAUUGAUGUCAAGGUUUUCUCAGCAAUUGUACACUGUACAUAAUAUUUCUUUCAACAGAUAGAAUGCAGUCCUGGUAAAAAAACAAAGAAAGAAUGCAGUUCUGGUAAAAAAAAGUUAGAAUAAUGCAGCUAUUCUUAGUCAGGAACUUCACUUUCUUACUAAAUUAAAGGGAUGGAUCAGAUGAAAACAUAACUACAUUAAAGGGAUGCAUGGUUUUGUGAUUUGUCAGGUGAGUUCAAGUUGAAUCAAUGAAAUUCAAAUAUGAAGAGGAACAUGGGCAUUCUUUCUUACUACUUUUAUAUUUCAGUGCCGAUCAGGGAGAAAGACGAGAGCAACUGGUUUCGGGAGCCGGUAUGCUUCAUUAAUUUGCAGAACUCCUGUAUGUCCUUGAUCCAAAGUUCCAGCAUUGUGUAGUCUGUCAACAAUUUAAAUUGGCACAAUUGAGUCGUGGGCAGCAUGGAGGUGGUGCUAACACCUAGGACAACGUGCAGCAGACGAUGAUCUGUGGAACCAUGAUUGUGGCUGAUGCUUUUAGCUGGAUAAUGGAGUGAGGGUCGAUGCAUCCGAUAUUAAAGGGCAACCAAUGACAGCAAAUGUGGAUGCCUACAUCAUCGUUGUAGGGCACAUGGAGGGGCUGUCUUGGUGAAGUUCCGGGGAGGCGACUACCUCUGGGGCGGUGAGGUCAGCUUGACUGGGGUGUGGUUUGACUGUAUUACAUGAUUUGAUUAACUUUUUGAAAUAUGAUACAACUGAUUUGCAUGAUUUUGUGUUGUACCUAAUUGGCAGGAUUGUCAAUAGUUUACUAUUCCCCACUUGAUGAUCAAGCAUGAUUCCCCAUAUAUGGUGUUGUUUAAUGUUGGUGUUUAUGCUGACUCUUGGCCAUGGAAAACAUUGAUCAAGCAUGAUUCCCCUUAUAUGGUGUUGUUUAAUGUUGGUGUUUAUGCUGACUCUUGGCCAUGGAAAACAUUGAGCAAGCUAAAAUUUAAAUGAACUAAUUUAUGCUGAUCAAGGCCUAGCCUUUUUCUUUGUUUUGAAACGCCUUUAAUAAUUCUUAAGAUUCCGUUUCACCUCUCUGCAGCACAAGCAAGGCAUUUCAAGUUCAACACAAUGAAGUGCAUAAUAAGCUAUUGGGCUGUUAAAUAAAUCUGAAGCAUGCAAUGGCUGUAGAAACCUUAUUACUCUCCUACACACUGGUUCAAUCAGAAUUGUGUAGGUUUUGUUGGGAUCUGGAUAAUAUUUUUCUGAAUCAGUGGUCAUAGUAUGCGCAUAAUAGAUUAUUGAGAGAAUUCUUUGCCACUUUACUAGAUUUGUUACCCCUCAUGCCAUUUCCAGAGAUGUAUUGUUAUCGAACCAUCAAGUGGGCUGUAAAAUAAUCAUGUCCUUACUGUGGUGUAUGUGUAUUAUUUUGUAUUAAGAUCAACGGAAUGUGGAAGCAUUUUUUUUUGGCGA